rnacentral:rRNA from 1 species
CGUUAUUCGGAAUUACUGGGCUUAAAGAGUUCGUAGGCGGCGCAGAAAGUAGGGUGUGAAAGCCCUCGGCUUAACCGAGGAAUUGCGCUCUAAACUACUGUGCUUGAGGAACCUAGAGGUGAGCAGAACUGAUGGUGGAGCGGUGAAAUGCGUUGAUAUCAUCAGGAAUACCGGAGGCGAAGGCGGCUCACUGGGGGUUUUCUGACGCUGAGGAACGAAAGCCAGGGGAGCGAACGGG